rnacentral:misc_RNA from 1 species
GAUCAAUAAUGAACAUGAGAGGACGUUGUUAUCAAUAACACUAUAGAAUCUAGAGAUUCACAGGGAAUCCCAAUUUUGAAACCAACAGUAUAGUACAAAGCUAAUUGUGUACGUGCUUGGCUUGGUAGUUACAGGUAAACUUGAUUGAUUCUCCAUGAUAGCAUUCCAUGCUCACCGCAUCAAUUGAUGACUAUAAUGAAUUUUGAGCACGUAAUAUCAAGAA